GACAGAGGGGGCGAGCGUUGUUCGGAAUUAUUGGGCGUAAAGAGUGUGUAGGCGGUUGCGUGUGUCUGGUGUGAAAUCUCCCGGCUCAACUGGGAGGGUGCGCCGGAAACUGCGCGGCUAGAGUACUGGAGAGGAUGGCGGAAUUCCUGGUGUAGCGGUGAAAUGCGUAGAUAUCAGGAGGAACACCUGUGGUGUAGACGGCUAUCUGGACAGUCACUGACGCUGAGACACGAAAGCGUGGGGAGCAAACAGG
rnacentral:rRNA from 1 species